UCAAGUUGGGUGACAAAGCCUAAAGGGCUGAAUCAAAUAAACCCAAAGGCCCAAUAGCCAGGUCCUUGACUUGGAAUGAAGAUCCGGAAUAAGAGUGUUGAGUGCUCAAGAAGGAGGAAGCUUGUGGCGUACCCAAGAGAGCAUGCUGUUGCCGAGGAAGCUACCACCCAGGGAAGAGGUGGAUGGUGCCGUGGGGUCUAAAGUAGCAGAAAAGCUCGAGGGAAGUGGUUUCGCCGAGUGUGGAUGGUGGGAGGCGAUAAUGCUCGAGGUGGAGCAGAGUAGGUGCAGGCCGAGAAAGAUAGCAAAGACACGCUGCAUCAUCACGAUCAGAACCAACAUCAAAGAGGAUGAGCCACCGUGAAGCACCAAAUCCUUGAGUUUUAAAUGAAAGGAUAUGCAAUGCAAGUAUAAAAAACUCACACUACUAUACAAAUUGGUCUAAAAUUACAGUUGUAAAUUAUUAUUUUAUAUAUUUAAAUUGUAAUUAUAAAUCAACGACAAUAGUUUAUAAAAGUGAUAAGAGCUACUCUACAUUUAGAAAGAAGAGGAAAGAGCUUCUUUUAGCUAUGAGGGGC
rnacentral:lncRNA from 1 species